AUGUUAUACCUAAGCUCCACUGCAACCAUUCACAAUGCCUCCAUUGGGGGGGCGUGUCCGCCUGCUUUCAGCCUUUGGCAAGUUGGUGGGAGGCUAAAAUCAGUCAUCUUCCUGCGAAGGCAUGAGGAGGAAAAGAGAGGAAGUAACUGAGGGAUAAUAUGCUGUAUGAGCCUCCUGCUCUGCUGCCCAUUACCUGCGUCACCUCCACAAGCUACUGAACCUCAAGGAACCCAUCUCCUCAUCAGGAAAAAAAAUAAGCUUUAUGAGGGUCUGAACUCUGUAGGUCUUCACCACGGCUCAGGAGGAUGAGGAGCAGUGACAGGCCAAACUACGAGAAAAGACAGAGGGAAUCAAACUCAACACUGUGUCUAAACCUCCUCCACCACUGUUGAAGGGAUCCUGGCAUCAGAUGGGGAACAGCUCUAAAUCAAAAUAACCUCACUACUGUGCUUUUCUGUAAAACCAGGUAAAGAUCAGACAAGCAUGAGUUGAAAGGCUAUGUCUCUCUCCAGGCUUUAUUCUGCCAUAGCAGUGACCAGGCGCAGCCAACAGAAACGGAAAGUCAUGGUGUCCAACACGCCUCUCUGUUCCCCAUGCUGAGGUUAAAAGAUGGUUUUUCCUUGCCAUGGAUAAUGUAGAAUUUGACUUUUCUCCUAUUUAUGAGAACAGAAAUAGGCUAAAAAAGAAAGUAAAUGAAGACCAAUUUUGGUACAGAAAUUAAAAAUCAGGAAAAAAUAAGAAAAAAGCAUUACAGUAAGAUAUUUUGAAUUAAGAAACAAGGUGUAAACUGUAGGAAAAUAUACAAAU
rnacentral:lncRNA from 1 species